UGCUCUCGUCUCCGCCUACCAUGAACGUCAGAGUGCCGUUCUCUGCACCCACCACACCUGCAUCGAAAUUACGAUUAUGAAUGGUGAUGGUACCUAACUACGCGCGACAUCCCCAAUGGGCCAUUCAGAAAAAACAUCAUUCUGAAUUUUUGCCACAGUGAGUUUUGGGUUAAAAUACGUGCGAAAUGAUUUCUCAACUAUAGAAAACGUAUUGGCCAUUGAAUAAUAUCAAAAUCUAAAAAUUAGAACUUAAUACAGUUGUUGACCGCCAGCGGGGUAGAUAUUUGGUUAUAAGCUGCGGAGGAUCGAUACUUUGCGAAAGAAAAAAUAUAAUAAAAUAGUGAUCUACGGCCUACGGUAAGGUACACUUGAAUUUCAAGUCUUGAAAUCUACUAUACAGCACAGUAACUAAAAAUUGGGAUCUGUGAUUCAAUAAUAAUCAAUGUAAAACGAUAUAUACUCAUCGUGAGCAGUAUAUAAUAUUAUAGUUAAUUCUCACUUGAGCAGUGCCGUGUACGCCAAAAGAACGUGCUGGCUCUCUGGCAACAUGGUGAUUACAGCAUCCGAGGACUCGACCACUUGCUGAAGCGUGUCCGCGGUUUCGGCUCCGUCCAGGCCCCGAAAAAAUUUCAUCCGCUCGGCUGACACGUCGUUGCCAAUUACUCCGUAACCCUGUUAAGAAAUUUACGGAAUAUAUUAUUAAAAAAGUUUUUAUCGUUAUUUUAUUAUCAUAAUAUGACGCUGCAAAGUGUAGUUUUUAGUUUUUUAGAAUAAACAAAAAUCUAAACA